rnacentral:rRNA from 1 species
AGCUUGCUACCUGACCUAGCGGCGGACGGGUGAGUAAUGCUUAGGAAUCUGCCUAUUAGUGGGGGACAACAUUCCGAAAGGAAUGCUAAUACCGCAUACGCCCUACGGGGGAAAGCAGGGGAUCUUCGGACCUUGCGCUAAUAGAUGAGCCUAAGUCAGAUUAGCUAGUUGGUGGGGUAAAGGCCUACCAAGGCGACGAUCUGUAGCGGGUCUGAGAGGAUGAUCCGCCACACUGGGACUGAGACACGGCCCAGACUCCUACGGGAGGCAGCAGUGGGGAAUAUUGGACAAUGGGCGAAAGCCUGAUCCAGCCAUGCCGCGUGUGUGAAGAAGGCCUUUUGGUUGUAAAGCACUUUAAGCGAGGAGGAGGCUACUUAGAUUAAUACUCUAGGAUAGUGGACGUUACUCGCAGAAUAAGCACCGGCUAACUCUGUGCCAGCAGCCGCGGUAAUACAGAGGGUGCGAGCGUUAAUCGGAUUUACUGGGCGUAAAGCGUGCGUAGGCGGCUUUUUAAGUCGGAUGUGAAAUCCCUGAGCUUAACUUAGGAAUUGCAUUCGAUACUGGGAAGCUAGAGUAUGGGAGAGGAUGGUAGAAUUCCAGGUGUAGCGGUGAAAUGCGUAGAGAUCUGGAGGAAUACCGAUGGCGAAGGCAGCCAUCUGGCCUAAUACUGACGCUGAGGUACGAAAGCAUGGGGAGCAAACAGGAUUAGAUACCCUGGUAGUCCAUGCCGUAAACGAUGUCUACUAGCCGUUGGGGCCUUUGAGGCUUUAGUGGCGCAGCUAACGCGAUAAGUAGACCGCCUGGGGAGUACGGUCGCAAGACUAAAACUCAAAUGAAUUGACGGGGGCCCGCACAAGCGGUGGAGCAUGUGGUUUAAUUCGAUGCAACGCGAAGAACCUUACCUGGUCUUGACAUAGUAAGAACUUUCCAGAGAUGGAUUGGUGCCUUCGGGAACUUACAUACAGGUGCUGCAUGGCUGUCGUCAGCUCGUGUCGUGAGAUGUUGGGUUAAGUCCCGCAACGAGCGCAACCCUUUUCCUUAUUUGCCAGCGGGUUAAGCCGGGAACUUUAAGGAUACUGCCAGUGACAAACUGGAGGAAGGCGGGGACGACGUCAAGUCAUCAUGGCCCUUACGACCAGGGCUACACACGUGCUACAAUGGUCGGUACAAAGGGUUGCUACCUAGCGAUAGGAUGCUAAUCUCAAAAAGCCGAUCGUAGUCCGGAUUGGAGUCUGCAACUCGACUCCAUGAAGUCG